rnacentral:tRNA from 1 species
AGCUCCGAGGUGUCAGCACGUUAGAUUGCAAAUCUAAAGAAGCAGAGUAAUACUUUGCCGGGGCUU